rnacentral:rRNA from 1 species
UACGAAGGGGGCUAGCGUUGUUCGGAUUUACUGGGCGUAAAGCGCACGUAGGCGGAUCGAUCAGUCAGGGGUGAAAUCCCAGGGCUCAACCCUGGAACUGCCUUUGAUACUGUCGAUCUGGAGUAUGGAAGAGGUGAGUGGAAUUCCGAGUGUAGAGGUGAAAUUCGUAGAUAUUCGGAGGAACACCAGUGGCGAAGGCGGCUCACUGGUCCAUUACUGACGCUGAGGCGCGAAAGCGUGGGGAGCAAACGGG